AUCAGGUCAAUUCACGAUCAGAGACAUUCGCGAUCAUUUGCCGUGCGUCAAUGAAAGAAAACCACGGUUCAUGGUUCUUCAACUCAAUCACGGUCAUUCAAGGAUUCAUGUGUGUUAGAAGUCCUUUACACGGAUAAUUCUAGCAUUCAUUACACGGAUUCUAUCAGUCAGUUCACUGUCAUUCACGGAUUCAAGUGUGGAUAUGAGUCCUUUACACGGAUAAUCAUAUACACAGUUCAUUAUCAUUCAAUUCAAGUCUCGAGUGUGUGUGUGGAAAUAAAUCAAUCAUCAUUGAA